rnacentral:miRNA from 1 species
UAUAAAACAAAUAAUGAAUGUUUUUAUUCGUGCAAUGGUAAGAAUAUUUUCAUUCGGUGAAAGAUGGAAUGUUCCAUUCAACUCGGCUGUCGCCUCGUUGAAUGGAACAUUCCAUCUUUCACCGAAUGAAAAUAUUCUUACCAUUGCACGAAUAAAAACAUUCAUUAUUUGUAUA